UGGAUUUGAACAGGACGUUCUAUACGAGAAGGGAUUACGUUGGUUUUAUUCAGUUAUUUUGGGGAUGAUUGACGUAUUAUCAGUGUACCGUAUGUCAAAAAGCAUCCUAUGGUGAUACAGCAUUCGUUCUCCGCAAGAAUAUUUCUCUCCACAUAUCUGUUGUAAAAGAGUGAAAGACAAAUAAUAUUUUAAAGAACAUAUAAAGUUUUUUUUGAAAGCUGAAACAAGCAAUAUCGUUAAAAUGGAUAAAGUUCAAGAACUUUCUGAAGCACUGCCUUUACCAAGUCAGCCAUUCUUAAACGUCGAAGUAAAUGAAUGCAAAGAAAGAUUGACGUCACUGGUCAUAUGUUGUGCUUCAACAGACUCACUUCUUCAAAUACCACUGUGCUGUCAAAACGUGAACAAAACCAUUUAUUCAAUUUAAUAAUAAGCAUUAACAUCUUAAUAGUAUUUACCACUUUAUUUUAGCACUAUCCCAGAGUAUAGAAUUAUAAAGCUUGUCAAAGACUUUCUUAUCAACAUGAAAACAAUUCAUGGCGACUCAUGUUUCGUAGAAUUUGUUGAUCCUUUUUAAUGGAACAUGUCAAGAGCAUAACUAUUGUGUAUGACACAGAUAAUUUUUCAACAUAUGGCAAGAUAAUUGAUUUGAAAAAAGUUAUGCUAAAGUAUCAUGUCUAUCAACUUCAUGAUGGGGGGCAUGGAUAUGAAGAACUUGAAGAACUCCAUCUUUUUAAAAUCACUCCCAAACAAUGACAUUUUCAAAGUAUAUAUUAGUCACGUGUUUGAAUC